AGACAGCGAACGCGAAACCCAACUGUGUGAGCAAGCGGAACGUGUCCUUGACUGCGCAAGUCCGCUAUGUCCUACACACCCACCUACCGGACACCGUGAGCUGGAGCGGACCCCAACAGGAACGCACUGUGCACCGCUCCUGCCUGCGGGAUCUGUAUGCGUUCACCGAGCUUGAUCGAAAACGAGAAAACGAGUGAAGUGAGAAAGAGAGAAAGAGCGAAAAAAGAAACAGAAAGAGAUAACCUCAUCGAGCCAAGACGAAUCAUGCUCGGAGGAAAGACCGGGAUUGUGGAAUGAUCUUAACGAGUCGAGUAUAUACUAACAGAGUAAGAGCAAUUUCUAUGUGGUUCCGAUCUUUCGAUCCCGUUUUCUUCCCUUUAAAAGUCCUUGUUGAAUUAUAUCGGUAUUUUUUUCUGCUACAUAACCUCAACUAUCCUUGUAUCUUAAAAGAAAACGAUAGGCAGAACCUUCUUGUUCCUGGAGAUGAUAAAAGUCUUGGUUUCCGGUUCGUUGAACUGGAACUGAGACGAAGUGUAUAAGAUUCGGUCUACGGAGCUUGAUCAUAGACGACCGGCUCUUAGGUUAGGAGAUAUCCGGAUUGCUUUGAAAUUACCGCGCGUACGAUUACUACGACGAUUAAUUAACGAAUUAUUCACCAUUAUUGAAAUAUGAGAAAAUAUACAAAGUGAUUAUAUAUACAGAAUCAUUCGGAGAGAUUUUAUAAAUAAAAAUAAGAUAAAAAUCGAAAAUUAUAAAUUGCAAGUAUUUUUUUUUUAAAUAUGAACUUCAAAAUCAUUCAAAUACACAUCUAAUUACCAUAUUGAAUACACAUAUAAUUAAAUGGAUAUGAAAAGGAAAAAAAUAAAAUAUACAUUGGCGGGAAGAGUUACAGCAUGGGUGAGAAAUGAAAAAUACAACUCGGUGUUCGUGUAUAAUUAGCGGCCGUAGAGUUUCCUAGUCGCGACGUGAUGGUCGAGGUGAUCACGAGGAGGGAAAGGAGGAGUGGAUGGAUGGAAAGAGAAGGCAAGCGCAAUGAAUCAAAAGGAGAGGAACGAGUGAGAAAGAGGCAACGGAGAGAGGGCCACUGUCACUGCCAGGGCUACGGUGAGGUAAUAUCAGAUUCCAUGCCACGAGGCAGUUGGCCGCCAUCUUGGUGUACGCUGUUCUCCAAUGCGGUUCUGUCGCGUUCUUCCACCCAGAUUCCUUUCGAUUCGUUCACCGUGAUUCGAAUUACACAAUUCCGCUUGAUUUCUCAUACUCUUCGAUUCCUUUUCACCAAGCGUACAAGAACGUUAUUUUAAAACGGAUUAAUAUAUAAGAAGGAUGAGUUUUGAAAUACCUAUAGUAAGAGAUUAAGAGAUCAAAAAGAGUUUAACCUAACUUAUUUAAUUUAUUUUUGUUCAAAUAUAAUAUCUAGCAGUUAAAAAAUUUGUUAUUGUUUCCUUUCUUUCAUUUUAAUUAAAUUGUUUGUAAAUCUUUAUAAGAUUAUAAGAUUUUCAUCUUUAUUUGGAAUUUCAAAUAUUGAAAUGUAU